rnacentral:tRNA from 1 species
GCGCCCGAAGCUCAGCUGGAUAGAGUACUUGGCUACGAACCAAGGGGGCAGGAGUUCGAAUCUUCUCGGGCGCGCCA